GACGAACGCUGGCGGCGUGCUUAAAACAUGCAAGUCGAACGGAAAGGCCCUGCUUUUGUGGUGUGCUCGAGUGGCGCUCGGGUGUGUAACACGUGAGUCACCUGCCCUUGACUUUGGUAUAACUUCAGGAAACUGGGGCUAAUACCGGAUAGGAGCUCCUGCUGCAUGGUGGGGGUUGGAAAGUUUCGGCGUUUGGUGAUGGACUCGCGGCUAAUCAGCUUGUUAGUUGGGUAGUGGCUUACCAAGGCUUUGACGGGUAGCAGGCCUGAGAGGGUGAACGGGGACAUGGGGACUGAGAGACGGAGCAGACACCAACGGGAGGCAGUAGAGGGAAGUAUGGCAGAAUGGGGGGAAGUCGGAGGAAGAAACGGAGAGGGCGGGAUAACGGCUUAAGGGUUAUGAACCGCUUUAGCAGGUGAUGAAGGGGGAGUGACGGUAAGGGGUAAAGAAGCACCGGCUAACUACGUG
rnacentral:rRNA from 1 species